GAUGAACGCUGGCGGCGUGCCUAAUACAUGCAAGUCGAGCGAACAGACGAGGAGCUUGCUCCUCUGACGUUAGCGGCGGACGGGUGAGUAACACGUGGAUAACCUACCUAUAAGACUGGGAUAACUUCGGGAAACCGGAGCUAAUACCGGAUAAUAUAUUGAACCGCAUGGUUCAAUAGUGAAAGACGGUUUUGCUGUCACUUAUAGAUGGAUCCACGCCGCAUUAGCUAGUUGGUAAGGUAACGGCUUACCAAGGCGACGAUGCGUAGCCGACCUGAGAGGGAGAUCGGCCACACUGGAACUGAGACACGGUCCAGACGCCUACGGGAGGCAGCAGUAGGGAAUCUUCCGCAAUGGGCGAAAGCCUGACGGAGCAACGCCGCGUGAGUGAUGAAGGUCUUCGGAUCGUAAAACUCUGUUAUUAGGGAAGAACAAAUGUGUAAGUAACUAUGCACGUAUUGACGGUACCUAAUCAGAAAGCCACGGCUAACUACGUG
rnacentral:rRNA from 1 species